rnacentral:rRNA from 1 species
GUGAACGCUGGCGGUAGGCCCAACACAUGCAAGUCGAACGGCAGCACAGUAAGAGCUUGCUCUUACGGGUGGAGAGUGGCGGACGGGUGAGGAAUACAUCGGAAUCUACUUUUUCGUGGGGGAUAACGUAGGGAAACUUACGCUAAUACCGCAUACGACCUACGGGUGAAAGCAGGGGAUCUUCGGACCUUGCGCGAUUGAAUGAGCCGAUGUCGGAUUAGCUAGUUGGCGGGGUAAAGGCCCACCAAGGCGACGAUCCGUAGCUGGUCUGAGAGGAUGAUCAGCCACACUGGAACUGAGACACGGUCCAGACUCCUACGGGAGGCAGCAGUGGGGAAUAUUGGACAAUGGGCGCAAGCCUGAUCCAGCCAUACCGCGUGGGUGAAGAAGGCCUUCGGGUUGUAAAGCCCUUUUGUUGGGAAAGAAAAGCAGCAGGUUAAUACCCCGCUGUUCUGACGGUACCCAAAGAAUAAGCACCGGCUAACUUCGU